GUCCACGCCGUAAACGAUGGGUGCUAGGUGUCGCGGGCUUUGACCCCUGCGGUGCCGUAGCUAACGCAUUAAGCACCCCGCCUGGGGAGUACGGCCGCAAGGCUAAAACUCAAAGGAAUUGACGGGGGCCCGCACAAGCGGUGGAGCAUGUGGUUCAAUUCGACGCAACGCGCAGAACCUUACCUGGGCUAGAAAAUGCAGUAACCUGGUUGAAAGAUCGGGGUGCUCUUCGGAGAACCUGUAGUUAGGUGCUGCAUGGCUGUCGU
rnacentral:rRNA from 1 species